rnacentral:lncRNA from 1 species
AGUUUGUUGAAGUAGAUAGGAAUUCAUCAAAUAGACACCAUGUCGUAAGUAUAUUAGACUCAUAAUUAAUCAUUUUCAAUGGAAGAGUAAUAUUAUUUUUUUUAUAAUCAUUUAUCUUGAAUAAUGUUUUAAUAUUAUUUAUUCAACAGUCAAUAAAACUCAAUCACUGCCAAGUCUUUUCUACUCAAUUUAAAUUUUGUUGAAGUCAAUACGAAUUCAUUGCCAUUUGUCAUCUGGACUUUUUCUACUUCAACAUUUAAAUUGCAAAUUUUGUAUUGAGUAAAAUGCCAUGACAGGGAUUCAGUUUAAUAAAACCCAAACAUUCUUUAUCGGUGGUUUUAUUAAACUGAACCACUGUCAAGACCUUUUCUAUUCAAUUUGAAGUUUGUUGAAGUAGAUAGGAAUUCAUGGAAUAGACCCCAUGUCGUAAGUAUAUUAGACUCAUAAUAAUUAACCUUUUUAAUGGUAGAAUAAUAUUUGUGUAAUCAUUUAUCUGGAAUAAUGUUUGAAUAUUAUUUAUUUAACAGUCAAUUAAAAUCAAUCACUGUCGUGUCAUUUCUACUCAAUUAAAAUUUUGUUCAAGUCUUUACGAAUUCAUCGCCAUUUGUCAUCUGGACUUUUUCUACUUCAACAUUUAAAUUGCAAAUUUUGUAUUGAGUAAAAUGCCAUGACAGGGAUUCGGUUUAAAGAAACCUAAAUAAGUUUUCUCGGUAACUUUAAACCGAACCACUGUCAAGACCUUUUCUAUUCAAUUUGAAGUUUGUUGAAGUAGAUAGGAAUUCAUCAAAUAGACACCAUGUCGUAAGUAUAUUAGACUCAUAAUUAAUCAUUUUCAAUGGAAGAGUAAUAUUAUUUAUUCAACAGUCAAUAAAACUCAAUCACUGUCAAGUCUUCUCUACUCAAUUUAAAUUUUGUUGAUGUUAAUACGAAUUCAUCAAAUAGACGCCAUGAGGUUAGUAUAUUAGACUCAUAAUAAUUAAUAAUUUUAAAUGGUAGAAUAAUAUUUGUGUAAUCAUAUAUCUUGAAUAAUGUUUGAAUAUUAUUUAUUUAACAGUCAAUUAAAAUCAAUCACUGUCAAGUCUUUUCUACUCAAUUUAAAUUUUGUUGAAGUCAAUACGAAUUCAUUGCCAUUUGUCAUCUGGACUUUUUCUACUUCAACGGUUAAAUUGCAAAUUUUGUAUUGAGUAAAAAGUUUAAUUAAACCACGAAAGGAUUUCAAUGUUUAAUUAAACUGAAACACUGUCAAGUCAUUUCUACUCAAUUUAAGGUUUGUUGAUGUUAAUACGAAUUCAUCAAAUAGACGCCAUGAGGUUAGUAUAUUAGACUCAUAAUAAUUAAUAAUUUUAAAUGGUAGAAUAAUAUUUGUGUAAUCAUUUAUCUGGAAUAAUGUUUGAAUAUUAUUUAUUUAACAGUCAAUUAAAAUCAAUCACUGUCGUGUCAUUUCUACUCAAUUAAAAUUUUGUUCAAGUCUUUACGAAUUCAUCGCCAUUUGUCAUCUGGACUUUUUCUACUUCAACAUUUAAAUUGCAAAUUUUGUAUUGAGUAAAAUGCCAUGACAGGGAUUCAGUUUAAUAAAACCCAAACAUUCUUUAUUGGUGGUUUUAUUAAACUGAACCACUGUCAAGACCUUUUCUAUUCAAUUUGAAGUUUGUUGAAGUAGAUAGGAAUUCAUGGAAUAGACCCCAUGUCGUAAGUAUAAUAGACUCAUAAUUAAUAACCUUUUUAAUGGUAGAAUAAUAUUUGUGUAAUCAUUUAUCUUGAAUAAUGUUUUAAUAUUAUUUAUUCAACAGUCAAUAUAUUCUGAUUGUAGUUUACUUGUUACUCCAUUAUUACAACCAUGUGUUUCUGUAGUUUGACAUUUUUACAAUUUAUGUGAUCCUAAAUUAUUCAAUAUUUCUACACAUUCAUAAUAUUUAUAUUUUUUAUUUUAUUGAUCUAAUACAACUAAGGCAUCAUUGGCCGUUAUUUUGGUGAACAUUUUGUUUGUUUACAUUGAGGAUUAAUAUGAUAUUUUUUUUCAAAUCAUUGUAAAGACAUUUAAGUUAAAAUGAAAGGUUGGAUAAAUUUAAAAAUGAAGAAUUCUGACAUUAUUGA